UAUCCAUAAUUGUUUUCACUGAAUGAGUUACUCUUUUGGGAGUCCAUUAACGUUCAGCUUUAUGCGCAGUGUAAUUGUGGAAGCUGUGAAGGUGGAUAGUUUGCAGAGACUUUGCUCAUCUUUGGAGCUUCUUCUCAGCAAAAUUGUGAGACAUUUCAGUGGAUACCCUGGUGAAGAGAGCAUAUGAUAAUUGGCAUGAAGUAAUAGAAUAUGAUAGCAAAGUCUUGAACUCCCUUGCCAGUACUAAGAAGAAGAUGAGAGCCUCAGCUGCACUGCACGUAUAGCUGACCACAAAUAUGCCUCAGAUCAGAAUAGUAAGACUAUUCAUAACAGACAGCAGAAUAUCUCUGAACCGGGCACACAUUGCCACUAUAACCACUAGUCAGUCCCUUGGUUGAUUGAGUUUCCGUUUUUGAGGUCUCGUCAAACACCAGUUAUGACAUUAUUACCGACAAGAAGAAUUCUCAAGCAGCAUAGAUUGUAUGUCAGUCGGAACUUCUGCAAUUGGGGGUUCACACUUUUCAAAAGAUUGGUCUCACCCAAGGAAUGGUCAAGAUCGGAAGAUCUUUUUGCUGAAAUAAUCCGACUUAGGAGUGCAGAGAUGUGGUGAAUGAUGAUACGCAGAGACUGCUAAAUACAUAUAGUAUGGGAGUCGGUGUGGGAAUGGCGGCUGGUUUUGGUCUUACAGAUGAGGCUUGUUUCUCUUGUAGUGCAGAAUAUCUCUGAUAGAUAGGACAUUUCAGCAUCAACAUGGCCGGAGCUCAGGGAAAGCUGUUGUUGGAUGGCUUAAGCUUAAAAUCACUUUAAGGUCGAGGAAAUUUGCAAGUAAGAGAGCUGCAGAAAGGAGAGUUCAGCUUACCGAGCUAGAUUGACCUGAAUCGUUAUCUAUUUUCAUCUCGGGUUCUAGUGAUGAUAUAAUAUGGUGCCUUGGAAUUCGAUGAUUUCACUGCCCAGAAUACAGACCGAAUUAAAGAUGAAAGAUUGGGAUUCAAGCAUUUGCAUAGAGGGGCUUCACACGAUUUCAGUUUUCCUUGUCAUUGGUGACUAUUCCCACCAAAGAGUAAAAACGAAAGGAGAUGAGAAAGAAUAGUCACGUAUCAAGUUUGGUGAAUGUUUCCAUUUACUCGUUCCAAGCGUCUUUUCUCUGCAAUUUGUUUUCCUUGUCUCAUGAAUUUCCCCAGCAUGCAUUUCUGUUCAUUUGUUUGUAACAUCAUCAUUCUUUUCUCGAUACUUACUAACGAUGCAAUCUUUUUCAAUAAGGGAAACAUCGCCUUGCUUAUAUUUUUCA